rnacentral:rRNA from 1 species
AACGCGAAGAACCUUACCAGGGUUUGACAUCCUGUGCUCGCCGGAGAGAUCCGGUUUCCCCGCAAGGGGCGCAGAGACAGGUGCUGCAUGGCUGUCGUCAGCUCGUGUCGUGAGAUGUUGGGUUAAGUCCCGCAACGAGCGCAACCCUCGCCUUUAGUUGCCAUCAUUAAGUUGGGCACUCUAGAGGGACCGCCGGCGACAAGCCGGAGGAAGGUGGGGAUGACGUCAAGUCCUCAUGGCCCUUACACCCUGGGCUACACACGUGCUACAAUGGCGGUGACAGUGGGCAGCCAACUCGCGAGAGUGAGCUAAUCCCAAAAAACCGUCCCAGUUCAGAUUGCACUCUGCAACUCGGGUGCAUGAAGGUGGAAUCGCUAGUAAUCGCAGAACAGCAGGCUGCGGUGAAUACGUUCCCGGGCCUUGUA